rnacentral:rRNA from 1 species
AUUGAACGCUGGCGGCAGGCUUAACACAUGCAAGUCGAGCGGGGUGAUGGUGCUUGCACUAUCACUUAGCGGCAGACGGGUGAGUAAUGCUUAGGAAUCUGCCUAUUAGUGGGGGACAACAUCUCGAAAGGGAUGCUAAUACCGCAUACGUCCUACGGGAGAAAGCAGGGGAUCACUUGUGACCUUGCGCUAAUAGAUGAGCCUAAGUCGGAUUAGCUAGUUGGUGGGGUAAAGGCCUACCAAGGCGACGAUCUGUAGCGGGUCUGAGAGGAUGAUCCGCCACACUGGGACGGAGACACGGCCCAGACUCCUACGGGAGGCAGCAGUGGGGAAUAUUGGACAAUGGGGGGAACCCUGAUCCAGCCAUGCCGCGUGUGUGAAGAAGGCCUUAUGGUUGUAAAGCACUUUAAGCGAGGAGGAGGUUCUUUUGGUUAAUACCCAAGAUGAGUGGACGUUACUCGCAGAAUAAGCACCGGCUAACUCUGUGCCAGCCGCCGCCGUAA